UCCUACGGGAGGCAGCAGUUAGGAAUCUUGCGCAAUGGACGAAAGUCUGACGCAGCGACGCCGCGUGCGGGAUGACGGCCUUCGGGUUGUAAACCGCUUUCAGCAGGGACGAAAUUGACGGUACCUGCAGAAGAAGCCCCGGCCAACUACGUGCCAGCAGCCGCGGUAAUACGUAGGGGGCAAGCGUUGUCCGGAUUUAUUGGGCGUAAAGAGCUCGUAGGUGGUUUGGUAAGUCGGAUGUGAAAUCUCCAGGCUCAACCUGGAGGGGUCAUUCAAUAAUGNCAUGACUAGAGGUCGGUAGGGGAGUGUGGAAUUCCUGGUGGAGCGGUGAAAUGCGCAGAUAUCAGGAGGAACACCCGUAGCGAAGGCGGCACUCUGGGCCGAUUCUGACACUGACGAUCGAAAGCGUGGGGAGCUAACAGGAUUAAAUACCCUGGUAGA
rnacentral:rRNA from 1 species